rnacentral:miRNA from 1 species
UGGCUUUUCUAGAUACAUAGC